UUGACAGCCCUAGAGAUUAACGUCCUAUUUAUCCUCAGAACAGGUGCACAUGGGCAUUUUACUACUAAUGUGUCUCAGCCUAGAGAUGGAGACCCCAAUUCUCAGAUUAGAUGGCAGUUCAAUAUAAUGCCUUCUCACACUGUAGUCAUU
rnacentral:sRNA from 1 species